rnacentral:lncRNA from 1 species
ACACCCAAUUCAGGGCACUGGUGUCUCUUCCCCAACCUCAGGGUGUCUCCAUUGGAGUUAUGCGCAAGAUAGAACUGCUCAGCAUUUGGAGACUUGAAACAAAAGAUUCCUCUGGGAAUCAUCCAUAAGCAUAAAAUGGAAAAUUUCCUUUCCCCCAAUAUGCCUCAUCCAGUCUCCGCAUGAUUAUUAGCCAGAUCAGAUCAGGAACGUAAGCAGCAGGAACUGAAAGGGAUUUGCCUUCUUUCUGACCGCACCAGCUUUGGAAAGUGGGGCUCAAGUUUGCUUUGGACAGUUAUUCGGAACUAACCAACAUCAUCAUCGUCAACCUUGUUUUUUCAAGAUUUUCUGUUUUACUCCAUAGUGUAUUUACAGUGUUUGCAUU